rnacentral:lncRNA from 12 species
GGCUUCCUUCCUCUGUCAUUUUCCAUAUUUCCAAGAGUUCUGUAAGUGGUCCCCACCUGAUGGUCCCCACCUGAAGAUGAGAGAUGAAGGCUCCAGACUGCAGAGAUGGCUCAAAGAUGGUAUCUUGCCCAAAAAAUAUCACCAGAUGUACUCCAAACAGUUGAGUCCUGCACACCUCACAUGGGCAAAGCAACCACUGCGGUAUGAGCAACAUGAUGACAGAACUGGACACUGAAGGACUGGACUGCACAGCACCACAGAAUUUCAGAAAAUAUUGGCAAACUGGAAAUAAAGUGUCUCCCUAAUGACUUUAUAAACCCAGCUCCAGUGGAAACUUUUCCUAUAUAAAGUUGAUGGGAUGAGGGAUCUACAUACAAAUAUUAAAUUUACUUUAAG